rnacentral:sRNA from 18 species
CCUAGUUCUGACGAACCAGGCUCAGUUAUGCCGUGCUUUCAGCACG